rnacentral:rRNA from 1 species
UACGUAGGGACCAAGCGUUGUUCGGAUUUACUGGGCGUAAAGGGCGCGUAGGCGGCGUGAUAAGUCACUUGUGAAAUCUCCGGGCUUAACUCGGAGCGGCCAAGUGAUACUGUCGUGCUAGAGUGCAGAAAGGGCAAUCGGAAUUCUCGGUGUAGCGGUGAAAUGCGUAGAUAUCGAGAGGAACACCUGAGGCGAAGGCGGGUUGCUAGGCUGACACUGACGCUGAUGCGCGAAAGCUAGGGUAGCAAACGGG